UGGGGAAUAUUGGACAAUGGGCGAAAGCCUGAUCCAGCCAUGCCGCGUGUGUGAAGAAGGUCUUCGGAUUGUAAAGCACUUUAAGUUGGGAGGAAGGGCAGUUACCUAAUACGUGAUUGUUUUGACGUUACCGACAGAAUAAGCACCGGCUAACUCUGUGCCAGCAGCCGCGGUAAUACAGAGGGUGCAAGCGUUAAUCGGAAUUACUGGGCGUAAAGCGCGCGUAGGUGGUUAGUUAAGUUGGAUGUGAAAGCCCCGGGCUCAACCUGGGAACUGCAUCCAAAACUGGCAAGCUAGAGUACGGUAGAGGGUGGUGGAAUUUCCUGUGUAGCGGUGAAAUGCGUAGAUAUAGGAAGGAACACCAGUGGCGAAGGCGACCACCUGGACUGAUACUGACACUGAGGUGCGAAAGCGUGGGGAGCAAACAGGAUUAGAUACCCCCGUAGUCCCUGAGCGGGCUGGCAAGGCGCAU
rnacentral:rRNA from 1 species